UACGGAGGGUGCAAGCGUUAAUCGGAAUUACUGGGCGUAAAGGGUGCGUAGGUGGUCUGAUAAGUUAUCUGUGAAAUCCCUGGGCUCAACCUGGGCAGGUCAGAUAAUACUGUUGGACUCGAGUAUGGGAGAGGGUAGUGGAACUUCCGGUGUAGCGGUGAAAUGCGUAGAGAUCGGAAGGAACACCAGUGGCGAAGGCGGCUACCUGGCCUAAUACUGACACUGAGGCACGAAAGCGUGGGGAGCAAACAGG
rnacentral:rRNA from 1 species